rnacentral:rRNA from 1 species
GACGAACGCUGGCGGCGUGCUUAACACAUGCAAGUCGAACGGAAAGGCCCUGCUUUUGUGGGGUGCUCGAGUGGCGAACGGGUGAGUAACACGUGAGUAACCUGCCCUUGACUUUGGGAUAACUUCAGGAAACUGGGGCUAAUACCGGAUAGGAGCUCCUGCUGCAUGGUGGGGGUUGGAAAGUUUCGGCGGUUGGGGAUGGACUCGCGGCUUAUCAGCUUGUUGGUGGGGUAGUGGCUUACCAAGGCUUUGACGGGUAGCCGGCCUGAGAGGGUGACCGGCCACAGUGGGACUGAGAUACGGCCCAGACUCCUACGGGAGGCAGCAGUGGGGAAUAGUGCACAAUGGACGGAAGCCUGAUGCAGCAACGCCGCGUGCGGGGUGACGGCCUUCGGGUUGUAGACCGCUUUCGCCUGUGACGAAGCGUGAGUGACGGUAAUGGGUAAAGAAGCACCGGCUAACUACGUG